rnacentral:rRNA from 1 species
AUUUAACAAGACUUGCAAGCGACCGACUGGGCCUUGAAAGAGGGGCCAAGGAAUCUGUUGCUUUUGCGAGUCAUGUUGUGG